GCCUUCCCUCCGCGUUUCUGCCAGGUUCCCGGACCAAGAGGCUGGGGAGCCGCACGGAGAUCAAGGCCACGAGCAGCUCCCCCAGAUCACCCUUCAGGUUUCUUUGUGCUUAAUGAUUUACUAUCGGUCUUUCUCCUUGGGCUGUGGGUGCCAUGAGGUCAGAGACUGGGGGCUGGCGCGAGCCUGGCACGUAAGUUCGCAACCCUUGCUGAGUGAACAAAUGUUUUCCUGAAUUUACGCUGUCCUGGGACGAAAAGGCCUGGCAGGCUGCAGCUUACUGAUUGCCUUCCUCUCCAGCCCCUCAGCAGCUGUGGGACUUCAGCGUUCUGAGUGCUCAAGGGUAAAAAGGGCCAAGGCUUGGGGCAGUUCCAGGGCGCUUUUCCCAAAUUAGGGUAGGGGAAGGUAGCGGCGGGAAGAACCGUUUCUAGGUUAAGAGUCAAGCAGCUGAUAGAGGUCAGGGGAAAGGAACGGUUGCGAUCUCAAAUGAAUACUUAAAGAUACGUUAAGAAGGUUUUAAGCCGCUUUCCCCUCUCCCUCCACCCUCCCCCCGCCUCUCUCUUUCUCUAUAAUUGGGGGGUGGGGGGGGCAUUAAUGGAACGCUGACCUCUAACGGCCAUUCUCACCCCACUUGAAGUACACCUCACGUGUUCUUGCUUGCCUGACAUGUAGCAUUUGGGUCAGAUAAAGCUAAUGAGAUAAUGACUAGACCACUUCAGAAAGCCUAAGAAGUGCAGUUCUAAAUGUUUUACAUCUUUAUUUUUGAUUUAUCAAAUCGACAUAAGGUGUAAGUUAUCCCCGUUUUACCAGUGAAGAAAAUCAACUGGGAUAAAAGUAACUCCCACGAAACUAAUUUAAAAUUAUUUUACCCAGGCUUUAUUUUUAUAUUGCACACAUGGGCAGUGGUUUCCUUUCCGCUUUUGCUUGACAGCUUUUCCCUUCCUUAGAGCUGAACACGACGAAUCCCUUGGGUUUCAAGACAAAUGGCUGACUUAACAACAACAAAAAAACCUGGAAAAAUGACAUGAGAAGGUCAUUUUUUGUGUAUCUAAAUGUUUACUUUAAGACGUAAAUUUACACUAGUAGCAAAAACAUUUUACUUCAUUGCUUGGCACACUAAGAAGCUUGGGGGAGGUUCCUGAAAGAACAGAAUCAGGUAAGAUGCGCCAGGAAAGAAUCAGCAGCAGCAAAUCAUCUUUUAGGAGCCUCUGGACCAAUUUUCAGUGCUUAAGUCUCUCACCUAACACAGGACUCUGAACCCAGAAUUGCAUUCUAAUUCCUAUUCCCACUAACUGACUUUUAGGCAAUGUAUUCAACCUAACAAGCCCAUUUGCUCACCUGUAUUAUGGCGAUUGUUAUUGUUAUCUUCCUAUUGAAGGCUGUGAGGAUUAAAUGAGAUAUCCUCAUAUAAACAGCCUAGCCCACAGCAGUUACUCAAAAAAACAUUCGGUCCUUUCCUUUUCCUUUCCUAAUCCUAAGCAAGGGCUAUCAGUGCUGAGAACAGUAAAAUGAGAAGUCCACACAAAUAAAAACUGAUGAGGAAAAAAAUCCAUUUGGAUUAUGUCACUUAAUACAUCAAUGACACCUGAAACACCUGUAAAUUACCUUCAUUAACUAACACUACAUGCAUGUACUUUCAAAAAUAACAUCCCCAGAAUAAAACUUUGAUUGCUCUCUCAUAGGUAUAAAUCAAUUAAUGCAGCAAGAGGCACAACUGCCACAAAUGCCUCCACUAACUGCCUCUCAAUAUGGAUGAAAUUUUCCCCGGGUAUCUAUGACCUUUUCUUUAGGAAACAAAGGUCACAAGAUUUUCUAAAAUAUCAGAAAAUAAUAGGAGACACAGAAGGGAGAGAUUAAUACUUUAAAAAACAGGUUCCAGGUGGCUACAAUUCACACAUGCUAUUCAUUUUGUCACGAAACAUCAGUAAAGGACAAAUCAGACUUUGUUUAUUAAAAAAAUACUUUACAGGAAAAAAAAAACCUCUAUGCAUUCCAUUGUCCUAUUUUACAAAGAAAUAGCUUAACAAUUUAACACACUUAGACAGCUACAAAAAAGCACUGUGUUAAAAGGAUUAUUAUUCACACAAAUUUAGAUUUAAGACUAUUCAUUAAAAACCUUUUUAAAACACUCAUUAAUGUCAAUAAACAAACUAAGGCCACAAAACGCAAAUAGUCCGCCAGGCAAAUUAUACAUUUCAUCUAUAUGCAAAGACCUCUUAAGAUAAAUUAAAGCCACAGGAAAAAAAGUCUUAGCUGCCAAUCAUAAUGGAGUUUAGUCACAGAAAACACUAUUACAUGAAAAUUUACAACAUGUGAUAGAAGUAGUACAUAAGUAUUUCUUUAGAGAGAAUUGAAAAGUGCUAUAUUAAGAGACAGUGGUCUCAACUACAUGCACAAGUGGAUCCUAAAAGAUGUAUGAAGAAAAUGGAAGGCCGUAAUAUUUAUGGAGAGAUACUUGCUUUUAAAGCAACAAACUUUCAUAAUGAGGAUAGGUCCCUUAUGUGCUAAAGAAAAACAUCUGUCUUGUACAUUUCCUCUACUGACUGCAUGACCAAUAAAUACAACUAAAACCUGUUUUAAAAAAAUUAAACUUAGCAGAAAUACAAACCUCUGGCAUGUACUAGUGAAAGGUUAUUUUUCUAAAACUUGUAGCAAUGAUAAAACAGAUUCAUUAGAAAGACACAAACUCAAUUACUCUAAAGGUAUAAAUGCAAAGAAAAAUUUAAUGGCAAAUAUAGGUUAAAAUAAAUGAUCUAAUAAUGAGCUAAUAAUAAUAAUCAAGAAUAUAUGCACUAAUUGAAUUUUGGAGUCAUGUUCCUAAAUUAGCUUUCAUUCUAGACAAUAUUUAUAGAAGGAAAGGCAAUAAGCAAAAGUUUCUCCAGUCAUUAAGGAUGAACUUUAUGCCUAUUAAGACCGAUGCAAGAUGAUGCAAGACAUCUUUUCCUCAGGUUUAUAUUUUGUAAAUAAUUUGAUUUAGUAAGCUCCUUUUUCCCCCUACAAGCGCUUGUGAUAUUAGUCAACUGAUAUUCCAACUGUCUCUAAGGGGAAAGGGCACCUUUCAAAAGUCUUUAAUUCAAACCGAUAAAGUACCAGUGAAACAAAUUCUAAGUAAGCAAAUUAAAAGUAAAAUUAAGCCUAGGAAUUCAUUUUUAAAGUUAAAACUUUGGAGGGGGAAUAAAUAUGUAGUUUUUUUUUUUUAAUUAUUGCUUUAUGAAUUUGGAAUACCUCUUUGAAUCAUAAUCCUACUCCUAGCAUAUCCUGGUAAUUACAGAAUGAGUUCUGGGGCAAGGGGAAGACUUUUCUCCUGAUUAAUGAAGACCAUAAAAUCAUUCUAGUUACUAAGUUAGGAAUACUCAUUUACUGGGUCCUUUCCAUAAGCACAUUUUGAAAAAUAUCCCUCUGCUCCACAAAAUACUAAAACUUGUAGCCACAUUCUGCAAGUAAUCUCAAAAAGUUGGCACAACGGAUAAUAUACCAAAAAGGAAGAUCAGCUUAAAUUUCAGUUACAACUUCACUGCCAUCACUACUUUAACAAAUCAGAAAACGCCAGAUUGCUCCAUGCCUCACUCCACCAAACCGAAUAAUUUAAUGAUUUUAGAAAAGUUGCAAUCAUUUGUAUCACUAAACUAGGAUACAGCUUUAAAGCAGUAAGAAACUCAAAACUUGCGCUUUUAUAUUCAUCAGUCUUUAAAGCAUGCUAUUAAAAUCUAA